AGAUACAAAACAACAACAAACAGACAAAAACAGCAGAUGCAGAUGUAAAAUGAAAUCAAAGACUGUGUUUUUCAUAAAACUAACAUCAUUGUCCACAGAAGGCAUGAAUUAAAUUACUGAAGAUCUCUGUAAAUAAAAUUUAAGACUUUUAAGGACCUUUUGUUUUGAGGGAACUGAAUUCAUUGCUUUUCGAGACCAGUAAAUAACUCCUAGAGUGAGCUAAAUAUCACAUAACACACAAAGAAACAUUAAAAAGGAGGCUUGCUUUAACAGAAAUAUGUGAAACCCUGUCAGCUCUCACACAUGAUCAGCUCAGGUUUGCCAAGCGUCUGAUCACCAGCACCAUCUUUCCAAGACGCCCCCGCAGGAGCUGUUCCUGGCACCGUCACUGAAGGUGGAGGCCGAUACUCGCUUCAACUGGAAAACCAAUCGCCAUGGUUUCCAACUCAAAACAUGCAGACACAUAUGACCAGCGUCCAGCAGCCUCCUGCAGCGGUUACCAUGUGUUUUCAAUGAGCGGUGGGAGGUUGAGUUACAUUACGACUACCUCUGCUGACGGCUAACUGGUACCAGCUGUGGAUGACCUGGAGGGAACAAAGCAGGACGGGACUCGGAGGGCGUCUGCACAUGCUCAGCUCAGGCGCUUCAACGGAGAAAACGCACAAAUUCGAUGUCCGGCCGGGUGGAGAUGACGGCCCAGGCCAGGCCCACCAGCAGCGCCACUACCAGGUUCACCACAAUCCACGGCCGUAGGAUCUGCUCCUCUGAACCUGGAGGCCUGGAGAAGAAAGAGGCCAGAGCAGCAGGGUCCAGGGUGAGGAAGCCUCUCAGGGCCAUGGAGGCCUUGGCCAGGUUCACUCUGCAGGUGGUUC